rnacentral:lncRNA from 1 species
UGUGUUUGUGUGUGUCUUGAGACAGGGUCUCACUCUGUCACCAAGGCUAGAGUGCAGUGGUGAGAUCAGAGCUCACUGCAGCUUCCACUUCCUGGGCUCAAGCGAUCCUCCUAUUUCAGCCUCCAGAGUAGCUGGGACUAUACGAAUGUUUUACCGCACCCAGUUCAUUUUCUAAUUUUUUGUAGAGAUGAGGUUUCACUGUGUUGCUCAGGCUGGUCUUGAACUCCUGGCCUCACGGAAUCCUCCUGCCUUAGUCUCCCAGUGGGCUGGGAUUAUAGGUAUGAGCCACCUCACCUGACCUGCGACGAUUUUUCAAUGAUGUAAUUUCUCUUUUACAGAGCCACCUAAGCUGAAGAUUCCCUUGAGAACAAGUACUGUCCCUGGUUUCCCAGUGCUGGAAUAUAGAAAAUGGAUGGACAAGUAAAUCCCACUCAGCACCCAUAGUCCAGGCGUGGGGACCUCAACACACCUGAGCCCCAGACAUCACCUUUCAUUGCGAGUAGCUCUGAGAUGACACUUCUGCUGUUCCCAAUUCCAGCAUUAAUUGGAUUAGAUAGUUAUUUUAUGAAGAAUUUUCAUAUGCCACAAUCCUGACCAUAUCUUCAAGUGAACAGAAAAAUUCUAUUAAAAAGUCAACCUUCUGUCUCACUCUGUUGCCCAGACUGGAGUGCAGUGGUGCAAUUAUGGCUCACUGCAGCCUCAACCUCCUGGGCUCAAGCAAUCCUCCUGCCUCAGCCUCACAAGUAGCUGGGACUACAGGUGCUUGUCACCACACCUCACUAAUUUUCCCAUUUGUGUUAUAUGUGGAUUCCACAGGACUGACUUCGAAAACUUGAGUAUGCGUGGAUUUUGGUAUACACAGAAAUGGGAGAGCUGGAACUAAUCCCCCCAUAUACCAAGGGACAAAUUGUAUCUGUUUUUACAAUUAUACAGUAGGAGACAUUAUGUUCCAUGACAAUGGUAAUUUUUAACGACAGUUUUUAAUUGAGUGAAAUUACCAUAAAAAUAAUAAUAGUAGCAGCUAAUAUUUACUGAGCUGUUACUAGGUGCCUAUAAAUAGCAUAGAUUUUUAAAUUCUCCAUAAUUCUUCCUUAUUUCACUUAACCACUCUAUCUUAAAUUACUCAUGCUUGCCUCAGUAGCACACAUACUUAAGUUGGAACAAUAGAGAGAUUGGCACGGCCUCUGUGGAAGAAUGACAUGCAAAUUUGUGAAGCAUUCCAUAUUUUUUUAAAAAAAGAAAAAAAAAUUACUCCCAGAUUUUCACUGUGUUUGUGCAUAUGACCUUUUGUUUAGGUUGAAUUAUAUCCAAAGGUGAAAUUUCGAGAAGUGAGAUUACUGUGAGUCACAGGGCAUGAGCAUUCUUAUUACCCUCGAUGUAAAUUGCAAAGCUUUCAGGCAUGGUGGCUGUCAGCCUGUAAUUCCAGCACUUUGGGAGGCUGAGGUGGGAGGAUUGCUUGAGGCCAGGAGUUGGAGGAGGCAGUAUAAUGAGUCACUGUCUGUAUGAUUUAAAAAAAAUUUCCAAGCUUUAUGCUGGAAGGCUUAUAUACAUUUUAAACACCACUAAUACUACAAGAAAAUGGCCAUUUCACUGCACCUUCGCCCACACAGGUAUUAUAAUUUAACAAGUUAUUUUCUGUGUGAUAAAUGAAAGACCUCAUAUUAUUACUUUGUCACCCAUUCUUUUUUCUUUUUUGAGACACAGUCUCGCUCUGUUGACCAGGCUGGAGUGCAGUGGUGUGAUCUCGGCUCACUGCAACCUGUGCCUCCCAGGUUCAAGCGAUUCUCCUGCCUCAGCCUCCUGAGUAGCUGGGAUUACAGGCACAUGCCACCAUGCCUGGCUAAUUUUUGUAUUUUUAGUAGAAACGUGGUUUCACCAUGUUGAUCAGGCUGGUCUCGAACUCCUGAUCUCGUGAUCUACCCGCCUUGGCCUCCCAAAGUGCUUGAUUACAGCUGUGAGCCAUGUGCCCAGCCUAUUUGUCACAUAUUUUAUCUUUCCUUAUGUUAGCUUAUUAGCUUUAUUUCUUUAUUGUCCUUUUUUUUUUUUUUUUUUUUUGAGAUGAAGUCUCGCUCUGUCUCCUAGGCUUCAGUGUAGUGGCACAGUCUCAACUCACUGCAGCCUUGACCUCCUAGGCUCAGGUGAUCCUUCCACCUCAGUAGUUGGGACUAUAGGCACAUGCCACUAUGCCUGGCCAAUUAUUUUUAUUUUUUUAUUUUUACUAGAGAGGAGGUCUUGCUUUGUUUCUUAGGCUGGUCUGGAACUCCUGGCCUCAAGCAAUCCCCCCACCACCCCCUCCCAAAGUACUGGUAUUAUAAGCAUGAGCCACCAUGCCUGGGGUAUCUGUGUCUUUUCCAUUUAUUUAUAGAGUUACUUUGUCUUUUACUAAUUCAAUGAUCUGUUUAAUCUUUUAUUAAAUUAUAAAAAUAAUAAAUACUUUUAAAUAAGUGAAAAAUGUCCUUCACUCUUUAGACCCAUAAUCUUAUCUCAGGAAAUAAUUGCAGUUGAGAAAAUGGGCCAUAUCCUUCAAGAUACGUACAUGGUGAUUGAACAUCACUUCAUAUUUUCAUAUUUCGUGGACAUUUGUGCCAAUACCUAUUGAUCUAUCUUAAUCCUUUUCAUGGUUGCAUAAUAUUUUAUUAUAUGGAUGUGUCACAAUUUACCAGUACCAGUCAACUGCUGGAGGCAUUUAGGCUCCUUCUAAUAUUUGCUUUGAGCUCUUUAUAUAAUUAAAAAUUAACCCCCUCAGCCAGGUGUGGCAGCUCACACCUUUAAUCCCAGCAUUUUGGAAGGCUGAGGUGAGAGAACUGCCUGAGUGUAGGAGAUCACCACCAACCUGGUCAACAUAGUGACACUUUGUCUCUACUAAAAAUUAAAAAAAAAAAAAUGAGCUACACGUUGCAGUGCACACCUGUAGUCCGAGCUACUGGGGAGGCUAAGACUGGAGGAUCACUUGAGUCUAGAAGGUUGAGGCUGCAGUAAGCUAUGAUCACACCAUUGCACUUUAGCUUUGCUAAGAGCAAGACUGCACUUCUUAAACAAAAUAAAAAUUAGAUGGGAAUAUUGCUCAAGCCCUGGAGGUUGAGGCUGCAGUUAACUGUGAUUGCAGCACUGCAGUCCAGCCUAGGUGAUAGAGCAAGACCCUUUCUCUAAAAAUAAAAUAAAAUAAAAAUUAACCUUCUAUCAUAUUUCCCAGUAACACCUUCCCUCCUACAUUUCUCCUAGAAGCCCUUAAAUUUUGUUUUUCACAUAUCGUUUAAAACUUUUAAGCGCUGAUGUCUGUCUGUGUCAUCCCUCUUUUUUUUUUUUUUUUAAAUGUCUUUCUGGACCUACCAUGAAAGACUUCUGAAUCCAGGAAGAGAAACUGACUGGGCAACAUGUUAUUCAGACUUCUGACCAAAUGUGUGUGCAGAGUUUCUACACCAGUUCUCCAACUCUCUGGAUACCAACCGCGUAUCCCACAAUUCCAUUCUGACACUACCUAGAGUUAGCACAGAACCCACAGGUUAGGGGCUCAGUCCCACAAGACCACCCUCACUUCAGAUGCCAGUUGCAAGUCCUAGGUUGUCACCUGUAUUUUGACCAACCAGUUAGAAAUCAGGGUUUCCCAUGACCCUCUUGUUGAGUUUAAUUAUUUACUAGAACAACUCACAGAACUUAGAAAAACAAGUUUUUUUUCUUUUCUUUUUAAGAGACAGGGCCUCGCUCUGUUGUCCAAGCUGGUGUGCAGUGGUGCAAUCAUAGCUCAUUGAAGCCUCAACGUCCAGAGCUCAAGUGAUUCUCCUGCUUCAGCCUCUCAAGUAGCUGGAAUUACAGGGUUCCCACCACCACAUUUGGCUAAUUUCUUUUAUUUUUUGUAUAGAUGGGGUCUUCUUAUGUUGCCCAGGUUGGUCUCAAAUUCCUAGGCUCAAGUGAUUCCGCCCACCUCUGCCUCCCAAAGUGCUGGGAUUACGGGCAUGAGCCAGCGCAUCUGGCCACCUUAUUUUCUAUUACUGGCUCAAUGUAAUGGCUCCAUCUCAGGAACAGCCAAUGAAAGAGAUGCACAGGACAAGAGAUGGGACCUCAGUAUGUUGCCAUGGCUGACCUUGAACUCCU